UCUCCGUAGGUGAACCUGCGGAGGGAUCAUUACAGAGUUCGUGCCCUCACGGGUAGAUCUCCCACCCUGUGUUAUUAUACCUUUGUUGCUUUGGCGGGCCGCCCUCGGCUACCGGCCCCGGCUGGCACGCGCCCGCCAGAGGACCCCAAACUCUGAAUGUUAGUGUCGUCUGAGUACUAUACAAUAGUUAAAACUUUCAACAACGGAUCUCUUGGUUCUG
rnacentral:misc_RNA from 1 species